GAGUUUGAUCCUGGCUCAGAUUGAACGCUGGCGGCAUGCCUUACACAUGCAAGUCGAACGGCAGCACGGGAGCUUGCUCCUGGUGGCGAGUGGCGAACGGGUGAGUAAUGCAUCGGAACGUAUCCUGGAGUGGGGGAUAACGUAGCGAAAGUUACGCUAAUACCGCAUAUUCUGUGAGCAGGAAAGCGGGGGACCUUCGGGCCUCGCGCUCUUGGAGCGGCCGAUGUCGGAUUAGCUAGUUGGUGAGGUAAAGGCUCACCAAGGCGACGAUCCGUAGCAGGUCUGAGAGGAUGAUCUGCCACACUGGAACUGAGACACGGUCCAGACUCCUACGGGAGGCAGCAGUGGGGAAUUUUGGACAAUGGGGGCAACCCUGAUCCAGCCAUGCCGCGUGAGUGAAG
rnacentral:rRNA from 5 species